AGAUUAAAGAAGAUAAGGAUAUUACAAGCCUCCCCCGGCUAUCAUGGUUGGUAAGCAGGAAUUCAGGUACUGAUGGUAAUAACGGGAUGGCGUAGCAGUGGGGAUUUAAUUACUAUCUAGAUUAUCUAGACUCUCAUGGUUUUAAUUUAAGUUUAUGUCAAAACUCUGAUUAGUAACUAAGGUUUCUGUUAAUUAAGACUAAUGUUGGACCUCUAUUAUGCUUCAUGUUAUAAAAUGUUUAAGUUUAUGAUA